rnacentral:rRNA from 1 species
UGGGGAAUAUUGGACAAUGGGCGCAAGCCUGAUCCAGCCAUGCCGCGUGGAUGAUGAAGGCCCUAGGGUUGUAAAGUCCUUUCGACGGGGAAGAUAAUGACGGUACCCGUAGAAGAAGCCCCGGCUAACUUCGUGCCAGCAGCCGCGGUAAUACGAAGGGGGCUAGCGUUGCUCGGAAUCACUGGGCGUAAAGCGCACGUAGGCGGACUCUUAAGUCGGUGGUGAAAUCCUGGAGCUCAACUCCAGAACUGCCUUCGAUACUGAGAGUCUCGAGUCCGAGAGAGGUGAGUGGAACUGCGAGUGUAGAGGUGAAAUUCGUAGAUAUUCGCAAGAACACCAGUGGCGAAGGCGGCUCACUGGCUCGGUACUGACGCUGAGGUGCGAAAGCGUGGGGAGCAAACAGGAUUAGAUACCCAGGUAGUCCCUGAGCGGGCUGGCAAGGCGCAU